UACCUACGGGAGGCAGCAGUGAGGAAUAUUGGUCAAUGGGCGCGAGCCUGAACCAGCCAAGUCGCGUGAGGGAAGACGGUCCUACGGAUUGUAAACCUCUUUUGUCGGGGAGCAAAAAGGCCUCGUGAGGCCACAAGUGAGAGUACCCGAAGAAAAAGCAUCGGCUAACUCCGUGCUAGCAGCCGCGGUAAUACGGAGGGUGCGAGCGUUAAUCGGGAUUACUGGGCGUAAAGCGCUCGUAGGCGGUAUGUCAAGUCAAGGGUGAAAUCCCCGCGCUCAACGUGGGAACUGCCUUUGAAACUGGC
rnacentral:rRNA from 1 species